AUUGAACGCUGGCGGCAGGCUUAACACAUGCAAGUCGAGCGAGCGGCGGACGGGUGAGUAAUGUAUGGGGAACUGCCUGAUGGAGGGGGAUAACUACUGGAAACGGUGGCUAAUACCGCAUACUAUCGGAUGUGCCCAUAUGGGAUUAGCUAGUAGGUGGGGUAAAGGCUCACCUAGGCGACGAUCCCUAGCUGGUCUGAGAGGAUGACCAGCCAGACUGGAACUGAGACACGGCGCAGACUCCUACGGGAGGCAGCAGUGGGGAAUAUUGCACAAUGGGCGCAAGCCUGAUGCAGCCAUGCGGCGUGUAUGAAGAAGGCCUUAGGGUUGUAAAGUACUUUCAGCGGGGAGGCGUUACCCGCAGAAGAAGCACCGGCUAACUCCGUGCCAGCAGCCGCGGUAAUAC
rnacentral:rRNA from 1 species